CCGAGUUUACAACUCCCAAACCCCUGUGAACAUACCUAUACUGUUGCCUCGGCGGAUCAGCCCGCGCCCCGUAAAAAGGGACGGCCCGCCGAGGAACCCUAAACUCUGUUUUUAGUGGAACUUCUGAGUAUAACAAACAAAUAAAUCA
rnacentral:misc_RNA from 1 species